rnacentral:tRNA from 1 species
UCCCUUGUAGCUCAGCUGAUAAAGAAUCUGUCUGCAAUGCAGGAGACCCGGGUUCUAUUCCUGGGAAGGGAA